AGGCGCCGCCUUGGUGGUGGCAUUAGCUGCGGGAUUGUCCGCCUGAGGCGCCGCCUUGGUGGUGGCAUUAGCUGCGGGAUCGUCUGCCUGAGGCGCCACCUUGGUGGUGGCAUUAGCUGCGGGAUCGUCCGCCUGAGGCGCCGCCUUGGUGGUGGCAUUAGCUGCGGGAUCGUCUGCCUGAGGCGCCACCUUGGUGGUGGCAUUAGCUGCGGGAUCGUCCGCCUGAGGCGCCGCCUUGGUGGUGGUGGCGUUAGCGGAGGGAUCGUCCGCCUGAGGCGCCGCCUUGGUGGUGGUGGUGGCGUUAGCGGAGGGAUCGUCCGCCUGAGGCGCCGCCUUGGUGGCAUUAGCUGCGGGAUCGUCUGCCUGAGGCG